rnacentral:rRNA from 1 species
AUGAACGCUGGCGGCGUGCCUCAUACAUGCAAGUCGAGCGAACGGACGAGAAGCUUGCUUCUCUGAUGUUAGCGGCGGACGGGUGAGUAACACGUGGAUAACCUACCUAUAAGACUGGGAUAACUUCGGGAAACCGGAGCUAAUACCGGAUAAUAUUUUGAACCGCAUGGUUCAAAAGUGAAAGACGGUCUUGCUGUCACUUAUAGAUGGAUCCGCGCUGCAUUAGCUAGUUGGUAAGGUAACGGCUUACCAAGGCAACGAUGCAUAGCCGACCUGAGAGGGUGAUCGGCCACACUGGAACUGAGACACGGUCCAGACUCCUACGGGAGGCAGCAGUAGGGAAUCUUCCGCAAUGGGCGAAAGCCUGACGGAGCAACGCCGCGUGAGUGAUGAAGGUCUUCGGAUCGUAAAACUCUGUUAUUAGGGAAGAACAUAUGUGUAAGUAACUGUGCACAUCUUGACGGUACCUAAUCAGAAAGCCAUGGCUAACUACGUG